rnacentral:rRNA from 1 species
GAUGAACGCUGGCGGCGUGCCUAAUACAUGCAAGUCGAGCGAACAGAUGAGGAUCUUGCUCCUCUUACGUUAGCGGCGGACGGGUGAGUAACUCGUGGAUAACCUACCUUUAAGCCUGGGAUCACUUCGGGAAACCGGAGCUAAUACCGGAUAAUAUAUUGAACCGCAUGGUUCUAUAGUUAAAGACGGUUUUGCUGUCACUUAUAGAUGGAUCCGCGCCGCAUUAGCUAGUUGGUAAGGUAACGGCUUACCAAGGCGACGAUGCGUAGCCGACCUGAGAGGGUGAUCGGCCACACGGGAACUGAGACACGGUCCAGACUCCUACGGGAGGCAGCAGUAGGGAAUCUGCCGCAAGGGGCGAAAGCAUGACGGAGCAACGCCGCGUGAGUGAUGAAGGUCUUCGGAUCGUAAAACUCUGUUAUUAGGGAAGAACAAAUGUGUAAGUAACUAUGCACGUAGUGACGGUAACUAAUCAGAAAGCCACGGCUAACUACGUG